UACCUAAAAAUCGAGAGAGGCGCUGCAUUUUUUCAGCUGAAACUGUCAAAACUUGGAGAAGGGGAACCUCGGAGGCAGGCAGGAGAGGAGGAGAAUCCCGAAACUCUGUGGAGGUUAGGAAGAUGCUGUGCCUCGAGGAUUAGUUUAAACAGGGGGCUAUAAAAGAUGUAACAGAUGCAAACUGUAACACAAGGGCCAUUAACCCUUUCUCUGCCGAGCACACUCAGUCCCCACGCCCCGCACCUAUUGUCUCCUGUGUUAGAAGCUUUGCGGAAAACCUGGAAAUUUUGGCCAGAAAUGGUGAGAAGAAAAAGCAUGAAGAAGCCGCGAAGUGUGGGGGAGAAAAAGGUGGAAGCGAAGAAACAGCUCCCGGAGCAAACUGUACAAAACCUCGCCAAGAGUGUCGGGAGGCAGGACCGUUAUUCCUGCGGAGCAGGAGAGAGAGAGACCCUGAAACACGCGCCACCUAUCUUUGUGGGGAGGGAUAAUUGAAGCGCCCUGAGCGUGAGCAUCAUGUGAAAACGUGAUCGCCAAGUUUCUCUCUGGGAAAGGAUCUGGGAUAGAUUAUACCUUGAAGUCUCCGCAAACGCUUUAGUGGAAGAAAUGAAAUUCCACCUCCCUCCCUUCCUCUCUCCCUCCCUCUCGCCUCCCUCCCUCCCUCCCUUCUCCACGCCCCCCCCCGUCAAGCCUUUGGCAUCAUUAUCCUCAUCACUAAAUCCUACAGAGUACAGGGCGGAAAACGGUGCACACCAUUCACAGAACUGGAGAACUCUGAGGGGCGAAAGUUAAAGGGAAAGAUCCCGGUUCCUCAAUACAGAUCGCCUCUUCUUAUACAGAUAGCUCUAAUGACCAGAUUUGAAAUGCACAUUAAGUUGUGCGGAUUUCUCAGCACCGCUUCUGGAACUAAAAUUUUUGCCCUUUCUCUUAUUAUUAUUGUUAUUUUUCUUUUUAGAUGCCAGAGCCUGAAAAAAAAAUGCUUCAUGUGAACUGUAUUUAGGGUGUGUGUGUUGGGGGUGUGUGUGUGUGUGUGUCUGUGUAUGUGUGUGUGUGAUGAAUUUCUGGAUUGGAUCCCAAUACUGAAAAGCGAUUUGGCAUUUUUAAAAAGGGUCUCUAAGUAAAUUAACAUAGAGCACUGAGUUGACCGAUCUCUGAAUCUCUCUACAUCUCACGGAGACCUCACUACAAAGUGAGGGAGUAUGUGUAGGGAGGCAGGAGGAAAAGGAGAAAGGCCAUAGAGGAACUUAGCAGGGAAGGAAGAACAUGAUAUUAAACGGCAUGGGGUCUAAGUUUUGGAGUUUAUAUUUUUUGAUAUUGCAAUUAAAGUAAAAUUAAAAAGAAAAGACUCCACCUUUGCUCUGAAGGGAUUGGUUAUGUAAAUAUGGAAGGGAUUUCCUGGAGAAUACAGCUUUCUACUGUAUGGUUAAUUAAAUAAUCACUCAAAAGCUUCCAACGUGACGCUUCUGUCGUAAUCCAAUCAGGUUACAUAGGUCCUAAACAAGAAAGAUAUUUUCCACAUCUGGAAGUCAGCAAUUUAGCAAGUACUGCACAUUAUUAACCAAUUCAGAGCCCACUUCCCAGGGGAAUUUUUUUUGAAGUUUAAGUGUUCUUAACCAAUGCUCUGCUGUUUUGUUAAUCAAAAAGCUGGUUUACACUGCACAUAAUUGGAACUAAUAUAGAAGUAAAUAAAGACAGCCAAAUUUGAGGAUGCUGAGCACAGGCAUUUAUCGGAAAAGGAAGAAAUCUCUUAGCCUCCAAUGGUUCAGGCUCAAUUUCUUAAACAACUGUGAGGCUUUUUUUUUUUUUUUCUAAGAGUGAAAGUGCUUGAGAACCUCAGAGCACAAAUAAACUUCCAGUCCCACAGCCUUUGGGCUUCCUUGCAAAGGUAAAGGUGGAGGUGUCAAGAGGACUGAAGAACAGCCUUAUGCCAAUUUUUCAGCUUUAAUAUUGUUAAUAUGUUACAGCACCCUGUUUUCAGUCUGAUGAAAUCUGAAAUAAAUAACACCCUGAUCCAACACUAGACUUUAACUUAUAUUAAGAUAAACUGCUUUGAACUGUGCUUUGAAUGUGUGCCUAAAGCAAGACUUUGAAUGCAAGAGUCACUGGCAAUUGCACUUAGAGGAGGGAAAAGCCACCACAUGGGUUGCCACAUCCACACUCCCAGAGGUGCAUGGCUUUGUAUUUUGUAUGUUUAUUUUGGAGGGGGCGGGCAGUAGCCACCCAGCAUGACCACAGCCAAUUCUUACUUCAGAAUGCAAGAAAGUAAAUUUUCAGUUGGUUACAGACUCCCCUCUUUCCUACCUUGAGUAUUUUUUACAAUGAAAGUAGUUGGGUAAAUUAAUCUUGUCCCCCAUCCCAUUGCAGAUUAAUUACCUAUAGAGGAGCAUUGAAGACCAUCAGUCUAAAAAUUAACAACAAAAAAAUUAAAGUUUUCCAACAUG